AGAAAGAGCGGAUGAGAACAAUAAGGAAAAAGAGGGAGUGAAGAAUCUUUGGUGACAGUUUUUACUUUUCUUUUUCCCUUUAUGUUUU
rnacentral:ribozyme from 14 species